GAUGAACGCUAGCUACAGGCCUAACACAUGCAAGUCGAGGGGCAGCGGGAAGGAAGCUUGCUUUCUUUGCCGGCGACCGGCGCACGGGUGCGUAACGCGUAUCGAACCUCCCCCAUACUCGGGAAUAGCCUUGCGAAAGUAAGAUUAAUGCCCGAUGGUCUCAGAAUAUGACAUCAUGCUUUGAGUAAAGAUUUCAUCGGUAUGGGAUGGCGAUGCGUCUGAUUAGAUAGUUGGCGGGGUAACGGCCCACCAAGUCGGCGAUGUCUAGGGGAGCUGAGAGGCUUAUCCCCCACACUGGUACUGAGACACGGACCAGACUCC
rnacentral:rRNA from 1 species